UUUGCAUCUCUCAAAUGCGGAGGAAAAGAAACCAACAGGGAUUGCCUUAGUAGCGGCGAGUGAGCGGCAAAAGCUCAAAUUUGAAAUCUGGCUCUUUCAGAGUCCGAGUUGUAAUUUGAAGAAGGUAUCUUUGGGUCUGGCUCUUGUCUAUGUUUCUUGGAACAGAACGUCACAGAGGGUGAGAAUCCCGUGCGAUGAGAUGAUCCAGGCCUAUGUAAAGUUCCUUCGAAGAGUCGAGUUGUUUGGGAAUGCAGCUCUAAGUGGGUGGUAAAUUCCAUCUAAAGCUAAAUAUUGGCGAGAGACCGAUAGCGAACAAGUACAGUGAUGGAAAGAUGAAAAGAACUUUGAAAAGAGAGUGAAAAAGUACGUGAAAUUGUUGAAAGGGAAGGGCUUGAGAUCAGACUUGGUAUUUUGUAUGUUACUUCUUCGGGGGUGGCCUCUACAGUUUAUCGGGCCAGCAUCAGUUUGGGCGGUAGGAGAAUUGCGUUGGAAUGUGGCACGGCUUCGGUUGUGUGUUAUAGCCUUCGUGGAUACUGCCAGCCUAGACUGAGGACUGCGGUUUAUACCUAGGAUGUUGGCAUAAUGAUCUUAAGUCGCCCGUCUUGAAACCACGGGACCA
rnacentral:rRNA from 1 species